AGAGUUUGAUCCUGGCUCAGGAUAAACGCUGGCGGCGUGCAUAACACAUGCAAGUCAAGGAGAACGUUUUCUUCGGAAAACUAGUAAACUGGCGGACGGGUUAGUAACGCGUAGGCAACCUACCUUGAAGAUUGGAAUAACUCAGUGAAAACAGGGCUAAUACCAAAUAAUAUCUGCAGUUUUUGACUGUAGAUCAAAGCAGGCUUCGGCUUGCACUUUAAGAUGGGCCUGCGUCUGAUUAGUUUGUUGGUAAGGUAACGGCUUACCAAGACUACGAUCAGUAGCUGGUUUGAGAGGAUGAUCAGCAACACUGGGACUGAGAUACGGCCCAGACUCCUACGGGAGGCAGCAGUGAGGAAUUUUGCGCAAUGGGCGAAAGCUUGACGCAGCAACGCCGCGUGAUCGAUGAAGGUUUGCGAAUCGUAAAGAUCUUUAAUAGAGGAAGAAAAACAUAUAUUCUAACAAAAUAUUUGUCUGACGGUACUUUAUCAAAAAGCCCCGGCUAACUUCGUGCCAGCAGCCGCGGUAAUACGGGGGGGGCAAGCGUUAUCCGGAUUUAUUGGGCGUAAAGGGCUCGUAGGCGGAUUUAUAAGUCGAAAUUGAAAUACAAUGGCUUAACCAUUGGAACGGUUUCGAUACUGUAAAUCUUGAAUGAUGCAGAGGUAAGCGGAAUUCCUGGUGUAGCGGUGAAAUGCGUAGAUAUCAGGAAGAACACCAAAGGCGAAGGCAGCUUGCUGGGCAAAGACUGACGCUCAUGUGCGAAAGUGUGGGUAGCGAACAGGAUUAGAUACCCUGGUAGUCCACACCGUAACGCUGUCUACUAGCUGUGUGUGUCUUUAAGACGUGCGUAGCGAAGCUAACGCGCUAAGUAGACCGCCUGGGGGAGUACGGCCGCAAGGUUAAAACUCAAAUGAUUUGACGGGGGCCCGCACAAGCGGUUGGAGCAUGUGGUUUAUUUCGAUGCAACGCGAAGAGCUUUCUUACACUUGACAUGCUGAGAAGUUACUAGAAGAUAGUUUCGUGCUUUCGGGAGCUUAAGACCACAGGUGCCUGCAUGCCUGUCGUCAGCUCCGUUUCCUGGAGAAUGUUGGGUUCAGUCCGCCAACCGAGCGGCAGCUGGUCUUUAAGUGGCCAGGCCUAGUUGCACCUCUUAAGGAACCUGCGGGUGACAAUCGGGAAGAAAAGGUGUG
rnacentral:rRNA from 1 species